UAGGGAAUCUUCCACAAUGGACGCAAGUCUGAUGGAGCAACGCCGCGUGAGUGAAGAAGGUCUUCGGAUCGUAAAGCUCUGUUGUUGGUGAAGAAGGAUAGAGGCAGUAACUGGUCUUUAUUUGACGGUAAUCAACCAGAAAGUCACGGCUAACUACGUGCCAGCAGCCGCGGUAAUACGUAGGUGGCAAGCGUUGUCCGGAUUUAUUGGGCGUAAAGCGAGCGCAGGCGGAAUGAUAAGUCUGAUGUGAAAGCCCACGGCUCAACCGUGGAACUGCAUCGGAAACUGUCAUUCUUGAGUGCAGAAGAGGAGAGUGGAACUCCAUGUGUAGCGGUGGAAUGCGUAGAUAUAUGGAAGAACACCAGUGGCGAAGGCGGCUCUCUGGUCUGCAACUGACGCUGAGGCUCGAAAGCAUGGGUAGCGAACAGGAUUAGAUACCCUGGUAGUCCAUGUCGUAAACGAUGAGCGCUAGGUGUUGGGGGACUUUCCGGUCCUCAGUGCCGCAGCAAACGCAU
rnacentral:rRNA from 1 species